UAGUCCACGCCGUAAACGAUGAGUGCUAGAUAUCGGGAGAUUUAUCUUUCGGUUCCGCAGCUAACGCAUUAAGCACUCCGCCUGGGGACUACGAUCGCAAGAUUAAAACUCAAAGGAAUUGACGGGGGCUCGCACAAGUGGUGGAGCAUGCGGUUUAAUUCGAUGCUACGCGAAAAACCUUACCAACCCUUGACAUGGUGGUCGCGGAAUUUAGAGAUAGAUUCCUUCAGUUCGGCUGGACCACACACAGGUGUUGCAUGGCUGUCGUCAGCUCGUGUCGUGAGAUGUUGGGUUAAGUCCCGCAACGAGCGAAACCCUUAUCCUUAUUUGCCAGCGGUUCGGCCGGGACUAUAAGGAACUGCCGUGAUAAACCGGNGGAAGGUGGGACGAUGUCAAGUCAUCAUGGGCCCUUAUGGGGUUGGGGCUACACGCGUGCUACAAUGGUGCUUACAAAAGGAUGCAAUACGGCGACGUGGGAGCGAAUCCUUAAAAGGGCAUCUCAGUUCGGGAUUGGGUCU
rnacentral:rRNA from 1 species